UACGGAGGGGGCUAGCGUUGUUCGGAAUUACUGGGCGUAAAGCGCGCGUAGGCGGACCUGCAAGUCGGGGGUGAAAGCCCGAGGCUCAACCUCGGAACUGCCUUCGAUACUGCGGGUCUCGAGUCCGGGAGAGGUGAGUGGAAUUCCUAGUGUAGAGGUGAAAUUCGUAGAUAUUAGGAAGAACACCAGUGGCGAAGGCGGCUCACUGGCCCGGUACUGACGCUGAGGCGCGAAAGCGUGGGGAGCAAACGGG
rnacentral:rRNA from 1 species